rnacentral:rRNA from 1 species
GACGAACGCUGGCGGCGUGCUUAACACAUGCAAGUCGAACGCUGAAGCUCAGCUUUUGUUGGGUGGAUGAGUGGCGAACGGGUGAGUAACACGUGAGUAACCUGCCUCCUUCUUUGGGAUAACGCCCGGAAACGGGUGCUAAUACUGGAUAUUCACUGGUCUUCGCAUGGGGGUUGGUGGAAAGGGUUUUUCUGGUGGGGGAUGGGCUCGCGGCCUAUCAGCUUGUUGGUGGGGUGAUGGCCUACCAAGGCUUUGACGGGUAGCCGGCGUGAGAGGGUGACCGGUCACAUUGGGACUGAGAUACGGCCCAGACUCCUACGGGAGGCAGCACUGGGGAAUAUUGCACAAUGGGCGCAAGCCUGAUGCAGCGACGCUGCGUGAGGGAUGGAGGCCUUCGGGUUGUGAACCUCUUUCGCUCAUGGUCAAGCCGCAACAAUGGUUGUGGUGAGGGUAGUGGGUAAAGAAGCGCCGGCUAACUACGUG